rnacentral:lncRNA from 1 species
ACAAAAUGACCAUAAAAGAAAAAUAUUUUGAAUCUUUUCAGGAUUUCUAGGCAGCCAGCAAGGCACAACUAAAGAUAGUCACAAAACGGGAUUUCCAAAACUGCUGCAGAGAAUGGCAAGAAUGACAGCCCCUUCAGCAGAAGUAAUGCUGUUACUAAUCAGGAGGCAGAAGUCCUAAGGCUACGGAGGACAAAGUUGGAUAAAAAUGUUCCAUGAAGGUAAUAGCACGGAUCUGAAAGGCCCAUGAUGGGGAGUCUCUUAC